GUAACCGCCCCUGGACAGCCGACAAGGGUCCGAGCAUCUGCAGUCUAAAGUGAACAUCCAUUGAACGCCUCCUGGACGCGUCAGUUAGGAUGCUCCAAUGAGCAUACAUCAGCAGACGUCCCACAUAUAUCACCCUGUGGACACCGUGCGCACCCUAUCCGCACUGUGUCCACAAAGAGCCAUUUGAGCACCCCUUUUCGCUCCUCACCCUCCACCUCGUUCUUCUCUCCCGCUCUGUCGUAUGACUGCGUUGCCGCCAAAGGAGAAAUCUGCGCAUAAGGCUUUUUUUUUCGCAGCGCGCAGAAGAGAGAGUCACGUGGUGCCAUAGCCCGUUGUGCGGAUGAUUUCAAACGGCGCUGGAGAGGCUGGAGAAACAUGGUGGCGUCUACGAUGGCUUGCAGGAAUACGGUAAUUUUCAACGCGAACAGCACCGGUACAGCUUGAAUUUUGUGACGAGGUAGGUGCAUAUGCCUUGGAGGUAACGGAUUCUAAAUCAGGGGCGACUAUCUAUGACUGAAAUGCAGGUAAGCGGCCGUGGUGCCUUUGUUUGUUAGCGCUCGCGUUUUACACCCUUUUGUUCUUCAAGUCGCUUUAGCCCACUGGCUAGUGCACAAAAAUGCAAUCGAUCCUACCUGAGCUUGUAAUAUAAGCAUAUUAGCACGUGCGUGCUACCUUUAUUUUGUGGUCCCCUCAGUGUGUUCUUGAUGAUCUUCCAGACAUGAACGGCUAUACCGCUCAGCAUCGGCCAUUCAUUACUGUGUGCGUCUCAGCGUCCCUCAGAGAGUGCGGGAGGAGAGUGUAUGAGCAGUCUUGGAAUUAUUUACUGUCUCAUGCGUUACAGUGUGCCUCAGCGGCAGAAGUUGCCCAGUGAGUUCCAGAGGCCGGAAGACACAGAAAGGAACAAUAUAGAGAGACCGAUAGCCAUUAAUAAGGCGCGAAGGAGCGUGAGGAUACACUUGCGUCGCUUCCGUGCAAGAUGCCAACUAAUUAUACGGCGAGUAACAUGAAUGUUUUUUGUUUCUUGUUUACAUAACCUGGCGAUUGACCACAAUCUGCAUGAACGGGAAUGAUCUGGAUAUGGCACCUUGUCACGUUCCUUCAUUAUUUGUACUGCUGAUGUGUCGGUAGGCAUGUACGAACGCACAUGUAAAUAAAGUCCACAUUGAAAUAAAGUAUUUUGGGUGCA